ACAAAGUUGCAAAACAUUCCUACACAAGUCAUCACAACUCAUCACCGGGACUGGAUCCGCCUUCAGGAUGCUGUUAGAUCUGAGCAGCUGGAGAAAAUGCCCUACUGGUGGUUUCGGAACUACACUGAGGGAAACACACACAGGACCCCCUAGAACAGUUCAUUUCCAAGUCCUUGGGAAAGUCACCCGACCCCAAUCUCACCUGCGUGGCUGAGACUGAGUUGAAGCAGUCUGGACGCCAGAGUUCCCACUCUGUGCCUAUGUUCUUAUCUGCCUUUUGGGUCUGAGCAUCAGACCCAGUAGGGGCAUUUAGCGAUUGCUCCCUGAAAGGAGAUCAAUCCUAGGCUGGCACACAGUUCUUCACUCUUUAUCCUUGUGGAGUGAAGAGAAGUUAAAUGCAAACCACUAUAAAGUGCUCAGGUGAAGAUCGAGGCAUGUGGCAUCCGGUAGAUUUUUGCAGGAGGCCAUGAGCUGCAGACCCUGGGCGUUUUCAGCUCUGUGCCACCUGGAGGUGAAUGUGUCUGUCGCCACAUGAGUUCCUGCAUGGCGGAAGUAAGAUGUGAGAGGGGCUGAAACAGAGCUAUUAUUGACUGAAGGCCCAUAAAGCUGUUUUUAGAAAGACUGUUGUAGGGGGUGGGGGUGGGGGGUGGGGAGGCGCUUCCUUAGAGAAGGGGGAUAUUAUGCAUCCUCUUUCCAUUAAGUCUAUUUUGGGAAGAAAUUACAGAGGAUAAUAUAUGAUCAACUCUGAGCAACACAGCCUCUAUUCUCAUUAAGCACUUGCUCAGCCCAAAAUAAUUUCUCCGUUCUCAGGGAUGCUAACCCAGGACCAUCAGCAUCUCCACUAAAUCACGCUGUUUAUUAAGGAAGUGCUGAAUUUUUUAAGUGUGAAUUUUCGCCCCUAGAAUUCCCAAGCAAAGGGGAACAACAGGGCUGCUUGCAGCCACAGGGGCGGCCUGCAGCCAGGGCGCCGUUUGUUUUCCGAGCAGCAUGGGGUUUCCUCCUCUGGGUUGAAGAUUUAUCAGCCUUUGGCAACUCCUCCAGUUACUGCGGACAAGUUUACUUCUCAAUAGCUUUACAAAUUGCGUGUUUAACUUUGUAGAAUCAAUUCCUGGGAGGUAGGGAGAGAAGUGGAGGGCUCCUCCGAGGCUCGAGGCUCGGGAGAGCGGGGCUCACCCUUGAGAUUUAAGGCGGCAGCACCCGUUUACCUCCGUGUGUGCCACAAGGUGAACGGGUUCUUUCCCUUCUUUCUUUUUUUCCCAUCUGCCCACAGUUGGCACGUUCCGUACGGGCAGUGACUUAAAACUUUAAAAGAUAGCGACCGAAAUGUUCAGUAAUAAGUGUCUGUUUAAUCAUUAAACAACCACCAUUUUCUCUUGCCCUUUAAACCCACCUUCAAUCAGCUCGGACGCUGGUUUAUAGUCUUAUUUACUACAAAGAUCACAAAGGAAGGGCUUUUGGGGGACCACUAGCUGCAGCGCCAGGAGAAAGAAAACAAAGGUCUUCUUGCCUCUAGCCCUUGCUGUGGUCACCGCUGGCCACUGUUAACUGUGGUUAAUAUUGCUGCUUGACUGCAAUGUGAACAAGGUGUGUCAUGGCAGUUUCUGAGUGAGCAUCACCAGGGUUCCUUUCUCUUACAGGAGUAACUGCGCUGCUCUGUGGCUCUCUUUCAGCACGUUUGAGUUCUGUCACUAAUUUUAAAAGAAGCACAUAGCACACAGGUUUUGAACUGGCCUUUCUCAUCCAGACC
rnacentral:lncRNA from 1 species